AUACGUAGGGGGCGAGCGUUGUCCGGAAUGAUUGGGCGUAAAGGGCGCGUAGGCGGCCCGGUAAGUCUGGAGUGAAAGUCCUGUUUUUAAGAUGGGAAUUGCUUUGGAUACUGUCGGGCUUGAGUGCAGGAGAGGUAAGUGGAAUUCCCAGUGUAGCGGUGAAAUGCGUAGAGAUUGGGAGGAACACCAGUGGCGAAGGCGACUUACUGGACUGUAACUGACGCUGAGGCGCGAAAGCGUGGGGAGCAAACAGGAUUAGAUACCCUGGUAGUCCACGCCGUAAACGAUGAGUGCUAGGUGUUGGGGGUCAAACCUCGGUGCCGCAGCUAACGCAUUAAGCACUCCGCCUGGGGAGUACGUACGCAAGUAUGAAACUCAAAUGAAUUGGCGGGG
rnacentral:rRNA from 1 species